GUCUGGAAAAUUAAAAAAUUUGGCGGUAUUUAAAUCUAUUCAGAGGAACCUGUUUCGUAAUUGAUAAUCCACGAUAAUUUGUACUUUAAUUUUAAGUUUGUAUAUCGUCGUAUAUGAAUAUUUUUUAAAUUAAUGUUUUCAGAUCAAGGUGUAGCUUAUGUUGAAGUGUAAAUGGGUUACAUUAAAAAUAAUAAUAAAAUUGGAUUUGGUUGUAAGUUUUGAAAUAUGCACAUAUUGCCCGUCACUUUCAUUAAGGUGAAAUAAGUCGUAACAAAGUAGAUUUAUUGGAAAAUGAAUCUAGAGUGCAAAUUAAAGCUAGGCAAGCGUUUUAUUUACAUUAAAAAGUUACUUGGGAAGAUCAAGUUGAUUUGAAUUUAAGUGAUUAUUGAUUUUUUUUUGAAAGUUAAUUUAAUUUAAAUGGAUUAUAUUAAUAAUUUGAAAAAAUUUUAUUAUAGUUGAGUGGUAUUGUGAAAGUUGUCAUUAGGAUUUGAAUAAGAAGAUUUUUUUUAUUGUACCUUGUGUAUCAGGGUUCAUUAAUUUUUCCCGAAUUUAGAAGAGUUAAUUUUAUUGUAAUAAAAAUAUUUAAAAUAAUUAAUUGGAAGUUAAAUGUUAUUCGUUUCUAAAAAUAUCUGGUUUCUGAGAAAAUAAAUUUAAUUUAAUAAUUUAAUUUAAUUUUAUUAGGGGUUGAGCUUUUAAACUGACUAUAAAAAUGAAUUUAAAUGUAAAUAUUAAUAGGAUUGGAAUUGUUCAUUUUUAAGAUUAUGUAAUAAUUGGUUUUUUUUAGUUUUUACUUGGAUGUUUAGUUUAAUAAUUUUACUUAAUUAAUAAUGAUGGAAUUAUUAAGAUUAUAAAAAGGAAUUCGGCAAAAUUUCUUUUCACCUGUUUAUUAAAAACAUGUCUUUUUGAUAAUAAUUUAAAGUUGACCCUGCCCAAUGAUUAAAUGGCCGCAGUAUUUUGACUGUGCAAAGGUAGCAUAAUCAUUAGUUUUUUAAUUAAAAACUGGUAUGAAAGGGCUGAUGAAAAAGGGACUGUCUCUAAAAUUUUAUUUUUGAGUGAAAAAGCUCAAAUUUUUUAAUGGGACGAGAAGACCCUAUAGAGUUUUUUUAUUGGGGUGAUACAAAAAUUAAUUUAACUUUUUGUUUGCGUGAUUUUUUGAUCCUAGAUUAGAAGAAAUAAUUACCUUAGGGAUAACAGCGUAAUCUUUUUUGAUAGUUCAAAUUA
rnacentral:rRNA from 1 species